GUUUUGCUGAAUUGCACUCAUGCAGGUCAGUUUGAGGACCAGUGAUGGGGAAAAACUGCUAAUCAAUUUUGAAUCCAAGUAUGCUGUUUGUUCCACCCCAACCCCCCGUCCUGGGGGGUAGAUGCCACUACAUCCCCAUAUCUCCCCAUUUCUCCCUAAUCCUUCCCCACUUUUCACCCCUCCCCCUGCCACCCUCGCUCUCUUUGAGCUCUGGGUCGGAAUAUUUUAUUACUGGGUGGGGGUUAAUCAUGUUUCGAAGUAAGCACUACAUGUUGAGAACAGUGGGUUGUGACUCCUUUCUGUACAAUUUCUUGUUUAUAAAAAUGAUUACUGACUGUGCAUAACGUGUUGAUACAAAAAACAUCUACAAGUCACUACAAGCAGUGGAAUGGUCCGCCUCCCGUGUUUUACCCUAGUGGUUUGUCCCAACCAAACAGCCACUUUGCUGCUGGCUUGUUUGCAACCGGCUUCUGAAUUGAUUUCUACUCUGGGCACUUUUUGGUAAGUUCGGCAAUAUUACUUUUAUCUUAAAUGUGUUUAUUGAAAAAUAACUGCAUUGUUUUGUGCCUAUAGUAAUCCUGGUUAUUUUGGGGCAAACCAGAUAUUUUUAAUAAUUGAAGUUAUGUCUCCCUUUGUAUUUUUUUUUUAUCCUGCCCACCACUCUAGGCCUAAGUAUGAAAUCCUAUGAGAUUUUGUGGGAUUUGAGUUUUUAAAAGUAGGGCGGGGUCUAUUGUUUGGUUUGGGAGAGCAUAUGGUGGUCAAGGAAGUACAAGGCUGGCUUCUGCAGAACAACUGAUUCAGAUGAUUGCAUGACCUUCUGCAGCCAUCAAGAACUCCAGAAGGCUGUUAAUCACCCACAGAUUCAAUCCAGGUGUGGCAGAAGGGAAACACCUAAAACAUCUAAGGCAGGUGAAACACUGAUUUAAACCUGCUAACGACUGAUUCAGUCUGUUUAUUCUUGGAUUUGUAACUGGUGAAACUGAAUUGAACUAUUGUGUGGGAUCAUUAUCAGCAUAUGAACAUUUUUGAAUGGAUUUAAUAAACUUAUUUGGAAAUGUUUGUGAUUAAUGGAAGAUUGAACCAGUUAUUUGAUGGAUGUUUAUACUAUACAUACUGUAAAUAUUUUUCCAACUACAGUACAAAUCACCUUUUGCACUAUUUUUCUGUCUCUGGUGUGUUCAGUCAACCCUGAUCCUCCUUGAGUUUUAUCUUUAAUUUUUCUGAUAAACAGCCAUUUUUUUUUUUUUUUGUGGGCUCUGGUGUCCCUUAGAUGAAAGUAGGCUGACAGGAAAGGAGGAAGGAAAGUGGGGAAGACGUGCGGUAAAUAUUGUCGGGUCCGGGAGUCGAACCCGUGAUGGCUGUGUCGAGGACUCAAGGCCUCCAAACAUGGGUCUCGCUAUCCCCUACGCCACCAUGGUGCUGCUUGGAAAUUUAACCCAAAGCUGACUGUCGAGGACUACAGUAAAACUGUCAAGAAAUGACUUCAUUAUGUGCCAGAACGGGAGGAAGGCAUCAUGGAACCAAAGUGAUGCCAACCAGAGUCAAACUUUGGUUACCCCAACUUGUACCAUAUGUUCAUGGUACAAGUUCAAAUGGUACAAGGCUUAACCUCCUGGAUGCUGUUCUUCCAUAGACAAUUGACUGUUGUUCUGACAAUCAAAAAGGAAUCAAAUAUAUUUAAAAAUCUAUCCCUGUUUUUGUAAAUAAAAUGUUAUAUUAAUGCCAUGUCAUUUUUAGCCUUUUGUAAACAGAUUUUUGGAAAUGUGUUGAUGUAUGAUAAUUUUGAACAACAUAUACCUGUGAUACCUAUCAUCUUCCAAUAAAAUUGUGGUUAACACCAGUGAAGAAACUUUUAGU